UACAGAGGGUGCGAGCGUUGUCCGGAAUCACUGGGCGUAAAGGGCGCGUAGGCGGCGCGGUAAGCGUGCGGUGAAAGCCCGGGGCUCAACCCCGGGUCGGCCGUGCGGACUGCCGGGCUGGAGCACUGUAGAGGCAGGUGGAAUUCCGGGUGUAGCGGUGGAAUGCGUAGAGAUCCGGAAGAACACCGGUGGCGAAGGCGGCAACCUGGUCCUUUACUGACGCUGAGGCGCGAAAGCGUGGGGAGCAAACAGG
rnacentral:rRNA from 1 species